rnacentral:tRNA from 1 species
GUCACGGUAUGAAAGGUAGUUCGCAGGCCUGUCUUUUGAUCCUAGAAAUACAGGUUCGAAUCCUGUUCGUGACU